GCCCCCCGGCCGGGAUAGCCCAGGGAAACCUGGAUUAAUACCGGAUGAGACGGGACCCGCGAUGGCGGGACCCGGGAAAGGCGCUGCGGCGCCGCCGGGGGAUGAGUCUGCGUCCCAUUAGCUAGACGGCGGGGUAACGGCCCACCGUGGCGACGAUGGGUAGCCGGCCUGAGAGGGUGGACGGCCACAUUGGAACUGAGACACGGUCCAGACUCCUACGGGAGGCAGCAGCUAAGAAUCUUCCGCAAUGGGCGAAAGCCUGACGGAGCGACGCCGCGUGAACGAAGAAGGCCGUGAGGUUGUAAAGUUCUUUUCGGGAGGGGGAACAACCGUGGCAGGGAAUGGCCGCGGGAUGACGUGAAUCCCGGAAUAAGCCCCGGCUAACUACGUGCCAGCAGCUGC
rnacentral:rRNA from 1 species